rnacentral:rRNA from 1 species
GACGAACGCUGGCGGCGUGCCUAACACAUGCAAGUCGAGCGGAGAUUGCAGUAAUGUAAUCUUAGCGGCGGACGGGUGAGUAACGCGUGGGCAACCUACCUUUAUCUGGGGGAUAACACAGGGAAACUUGUGCUAAUACCGCAUAAAAUCAUAAGAAUACAUCUUCUAAUGAUCAAAGGAGUAAUCCGGAUAGAGAUGGGCCCGCGUCCGAUUAGCUAGUUGGUGGUGUAACGGACCACCAAGGCGACGAUCGGUAGCCGAACUGAGAGGUUGAUCGGCCACAUUGGGACUGAGACACGGCCCAGACUCCUACGGGAGGCAGCAGUGGGGAAUAUUGCGCAAUGGGGGAAACCCUGACGCAGCAACGCCGCGUGAAGGAUGAAGGUCUUCGGAUCGUAAACUUCUUUGAUGAGGGACGAAUAAAUGACGGUACCUCAAAAACAAGCCACGGCUAACUACGUGCCAGCAGCCGCCGUAA